UACGUAGGGGGCAAGCGUUGUCCGGAUUUACUGGGCGUAAAGAGCGUGUAGGCGGCCACGCAGGUCCGUUGUGAAAACUGGAGGCUCAACUUCCAGCCGUCGACGGAAACCGUGUGGCUAGAGUCCGGAAGAGGAGAGUGGAAUUCCUGGUGUAGCGGUGAAAUGCGCAGAUAUCAGGAGGAACACCGGUGGCGAAGGCGGGUCUCUGGGCAACAACUGACGCUGAGGAGCGAAAGCGUGGGGAGCGAACAGG
rnacentral:rRNA from 1 species